ensembl:lncRNA
GUGUGUUUGUGAGGGUGUGUUUUUGUGAAUGUGUUUGUUUGUGUGAGUGUGUGAGUGUGUUGUGACAGUGUGAGUAUGUUGUGAGAGUGAGAGCGUGUUUGUGAGAGUGUGUUUGUGUGAGAGUGUGAGUGUGUUGUGAGAGGGUGUGAGUGUGAGUGUGUUGUGUGAGUUGUGUUGUGAGACUGUGCGUGUGUUGUGUGAGUGUGUUUGUGAGAGUGUGAGUGUGUUGUGAGACUGUGAGUGUGUUGUGUGAGUGUGUUUGUGAGAGUGUGAGUGUGUUGUUGUGUUUGAGAGAGUAUGAGUGUGUUUGUGAGAGUGUGUUUGUGAGAGUGUGUUUGUGAGAGUGUGAGUGUGAGAGUGUGUUUGUGAGAGUGUGAGUGUGUUUGUGAGAGUGUGUUUGUGAGAGUGUGAGUGUGUUUUUGAGAGAGUAUGAGUGUGUUUGUGUUUGUGUUUGUGACUGAGUGUGAGCGUGUUUGUGUGUGUGUAACAGUGAAGAUUUGGUUUCUUCCACUUGCAUCCUUUUUGUGCUAUUUAAUCACACUGAGCAUGUGCAUAAGUCAUGUUGUUGGGGAUAUAGUGACCUCUAGGGGAUACAUGUUGAACUGAGUGGCUCUCCUCAGAGUUUGAAGGGUUAGAG